GGUGCCAUAGCAACAGGGGCGCCUGGCGGCCGACACAGCUUGCAUGCCACUAACAUACUUGUCUUGUCACAUACUGCAGUAGAUUGCCGCCCAUCCCCCACUCGGAACUCUAUCAUAGUGGAGCGGGAGCUGUCAGCUCAGCCGCUCCACCAUUCAUUCACCUUUCUCACACGCUGCUCCUCGCUUGCAGCGUGUGAGCCGUGGGGACGCAAUCUACGGCUGGCAGGAGCGAUGACAUCACAUUAUCGCGCCGGCACCCGGAAAUACGUCCCCACGGCUGGCACACUGAGAGCAAGCAGUAAGCUUAGGAACCAGCACCAAAGAAUAUCGUAUACGCUCAAGAAUAACGUGUGAAACGAAAGCUGUAAUAUAUUACACCACAUGUCAUUGCAUGAAAAUUUAUAUUGGGAUGACAUCACGAAAACUGAAGACACCACAAUUGUGACUACUCGCUAUUGAAAGUGAGGGGAAUCGAAUCAGUCGAUCUUGGAAUCAGGAGUGGUAACAUUGGAAAAACCCUUGCCCAGAAAGAAAGUCUAUGGAUCUGGACACCUUACAUCCAAAAGGCCUUAAUAUACUACCGUUCGCUCCAUUUCUCUGACUGUUUUGUCUCUUCCAAAGUAUAUAUGCCAUCUGAUCUAUCAUGCGGUGCCUUAUUACCUCCACAGUCGUCCAAGUGUCAUCCAGUCUCUGUUAUCCACAGCUGCAAAAGUGCCAUUCAUCCAUUGUCCUCUUCUUUUUAUAUAUAAUUAUGUUUGUCCAGCAUUUCGUGAUGUAUAGGUAAUUACCUUACUGUGUCCAUAAUAACACAUCCUUGCUUUACAACUUAGGAUGUACUUUUUAUAUUUAUACCUCAUAUUGUGGUAUAUCUAUUUGCUUAAUAUUACGUACAAGCUUUUCUUUUGUAAAUAAAUCUAAUAUAAACAUUAAUAAAGAAUUUUUG